rnacentral:rRNA from 1 species
UACAGAGGGUGCAAGCGUUGUUCGGAAUUAUUGGGCGUAAAGGGUGCGUAGGCGGUGCGGUAAGUCGGGUGUGAAAUCUUGGAGCUUAACUCCGAAACUGCAUUCGAUACUGCCGUGCUUGAGGACUGGAGAGGAGACUGGAAUUUACGGUGUAGCGGUGAAAUGCGUAGAUAUCGUAAGGAAGACCAGUGGCGAAGGCGGGUCUCUGGACAGUUCCUGACGUGAGGCACGAAGGCCAGGGGGAGCAAAACAGG